rnacentral:rRNA from 1 species
GAUGAACGCUGGCGGCGUGCCUAAUACAUGCAAGUCGAGCGAACGGACGAGAAGCUUGCUUCUCUGAUGUUAGCGGCGGACGGGUGAGUAACACGUGGAUAACCUACCUAUAAGACUGGGAUAACUUCGGGAAAACGUAGCUAAUACCGGAUAAUAUUUUGAACCGCAUGGUUCAAAAGUGAAAGACGGUCUUGCUGUCACUUAUAGAUGGAUCCGCGCUGCAUUAGCUAGUUGGCAAGGUAACGGCUUACCAAGGCAACGAUGCAUAGCCGACCUGAGAGGGUGAUCGGCCACACUGGAACUGAGACACGGUCCAGACUCCUACGGGAGGCAGCAGUAGGGAAUCUUCCGCAAUGGGCGAAAGCCUGACGGAGCAACGCCGCGUGAGUGAUGAAGGUCUUCGGAUCGUAAAACUCUGUUAUUAGGGAAGAACAUAUGUGUAAGUAACUGUGCACAUCUUGACGGUACCUAAUCAGAAAGCCACGGCUAACUACGUGCCAGCAGCCGCGGUAAUACGUAGGUGGCAAGCGUUAUCCGGAAUUAUUGGGCGUAAAGCGCGCGUAGGCGGUUUUUUAAGUCUGAUGUGAAAGCCCACGGCUCAACCGUGGAGGGUCAUUGGAAACUGGAAAACUUGAGUGCAGAAGAGGAAAGUGGAAUUCCAUGUGUAGCGGUGAAAUGCGCAGAGAUAUGGAGGAACACCAGUGGCGAAGGCGACUUUCUGGUCUGUAACUGACGCUGAUGUGCGAAAGCGUGGGGAUCAAACAGGAUUAGAUACCCUGGUAGUCCACGCCGUAAACGAUGAGUGCUAAGUGUUAGGGGGUUUCCGCCCCUUAGUGCUGCAGCUAACGCAUUAAGCACUCCGCCUGGGGAGUACGACCGCAAGGUUGAAACUCAAAGGAAUUGACGGGGACCCGCACAAGCGGUGGAGCAUGUGGUUUAAUUCGAAGCAACGCGAAGAACCUUACCAAAUCUUGACAUCCUUUGACAACUCUAGAGAUAGAGCCUUCCCCUUCGGGGGACAAAGUGACAGGUGGUGCAUGGUUGUCGUCAGCUCGUGUCGUGAGAUGUUGGGUUAAGUCCCGCAACGAGCGCAACCCUUAAGCUUAGUUGCCAUCAUUAAGUUGGGCACUCUAAGUUGACUGCCGGUGACAAACCGGAGGAAGGUGGGGAUGACGUCAAAUCAUCAUGCCCCUUAUGAUUUGGGCUACACACGUGCUGCAAUGGACAAUACAAAGGGCAGCGAAACCGCGAGGUCAAGCAAAUCCCAUAAAGUUGUUCUCAGUUCGGAUUGUAGUCUGCAACUCGACUACAUGAAGCUGGAAUCGCUAGUAAUCGUAGAUCAGCAUGCUACGGUGAAUACGUUCCCGGGUCU